AUAUACAGCCAAAUCACCCUGAAAGCAACAGAUCUUGUCUGAUUUUGGAAGCUAAGCAGGGUCUGGCCUGGUUAGUACUUAGAUACAAGUGCCAUUAUUUU
rnacentral:rRNA from 1 species